AACGAACGCUGGCGGCAUGCCUAACACAUGCAAGUCGAACGAGACCUUCGGGUCUAGUGGCGCACGUGUGCGUAACGCGUGGGAACCUGCCCUUAGGUUCGGAAUAACUCCCCGAAAGGGGUGCUAAUACCGGAUAAUGUCUUAGGACCAACGAUUUAUCGCCUUUGGAUGGGCCCGCGUUGGAUUAGCUAGUUGGUAGGGUAAAAGCCUACCAAGGCGACGAUCCAUAGCUGGUCGGAGCGGAGGAUCAGCCAGACUGGGAAUGAGACACGGCCCAGACUCCUACGGGAGGCAGCAGUGGGGAAUAUUGGACGAUGGGCGAAAGCCUGAUCAAGCAAUGCCGCGUGAGUGAUGAAGGCCUUAGGGUUGUAAAGCUCUUUUACCCGGGAUGAUAAUGACAGUACCGGGAGAAUAAGCUCCGGCUAACUCCGUG
rnacentral:rRNA from 1 species